CCAGCUUCCAGCCAGAGCCGAGCUUGGAAAACACACAGACAUGCUUGGAAUUCCAGAAAUGCGCCCUGUCUAGGGCCUCUGCCUGCUCCCCCAGGCCCUCGGGGAGUGUGAAAGUGGGGCUGGGGCCCAGGACCAUCUGGAGACAAGCCCAAUCUUCUCCUCCCAGGAACAAAGUGGGCCUCAAGACCCCACCCCCAUCCAGCCCUGGACUUCUGCACCCCCCAGAGAUGCGGCAUGCCUCAGUGAGCCAGCCACAAGGAAUAAGUCUGGAUCCUUUACCCCUGAUAACUUGGUCCCCUGGAUCAGCAACCCCAAGGUCUUCAGGAGGGCUGCAGCUCUGAGGAGCCAAAGUAGACAGGAUACAGCCCACAGAGGAGAGCAGACAGAGCACAGCGCACAAGAGACACGGCACACAGGGGACAUUACAUCUGUCUGUGGACUUCUUUUGGCAGCUCCUCCACAGAGACCUCUCCAUGUUCCCCGGGGCUGGAGAAGGUGAGAAUGGAAACAUCAACUCAGGGGCUUCAACACUAAAUGGCUUCAUUUCUCGUCCAGUCACUGCUGCUUCCAGCCAUGUGUGACCAGUCUCUGAGCAUGUCCAAGUAUAAAAAAAUCUAGUCCACGGAGAAGAUUCCACGCCCUGAGUCUGAUCACGCUUCUCUACUCCAGUCACACUCCUCUCCACACAGAGUGGUAAGGGAAGGUGUUGGGGAUAAGGACAGGGUCUGAGGAAGGGGCCUCCACUAGGUGUGGCCUUCCCCCCCCCCCCAGGAAAACCUGAGACAAAUCUCCUGCUGGGGUGUGAGUGCUCUUCAGGUGUUCAUCCUACAGGACCCACCUUGCCAAAUCCACUCCAUCUUCUCUUUCAGUCUCCCACCCUGAACCCAGCUAUCCCGGAUGGGACCCACAGUACAGCAUACAGCUAGCAGGCAGCUCAGGCCCCCUGGCCACAUCAGAUGGGCAGAAGCACCAUCUUUCCCCUGGCUCUUCAUUCAUCCUCUCCUUGCUUAAAGAAGCUCAGGACACAGCAUCAGCCUGUCCAGCCAAACCGUGGAAGGCCCACACUCCGAGCUGCAGGACAUCCAAUUUCUGUUGAGGACCCUCCUCCCCACUACACAGGGUACCCCCUCCCCCAUAGACAGGCUCCAGCAAUUUUCAUUUCAACUUGUUUUGAAGAACAGCAGCCGCUGUUACGCUCAUCACCCUUGUUGAAGUGCAUAAUAGCAUGCACGCACUUAGAAGUGUGGUCAGCUGCUGUGGCAGAAUACCAUAGACUGGGUAGCUUAAACGACAGACAUUUAUUAUCACAGUUCUGGAAGCUGGAAGUCAAGGUCAAGAUGCCAGCAGAUCCAGUUUCUGGUGAGGGCUCUCUUCCUGGUUUGCAGAUGACCACCUUCUCGUUGUAUCUUCACAUGGAAAUAGAAAUCUCUGUCUCAUUUCUCUUCUUCUAAAGGCACUACUUCUUCUAAAGGCCUCAUCCUUAUGACCUCAUUUAACCUAAUCACUUCCCCAGAUCCCCACCAACCAUCACAGCAGGGGUUAGGAUUUUAGCAUAUGAAUUUGGGGAGACAUGAACAUUCGGUCCACAACACUGAGAGAGAUACCCAUAACAUGGUGAAAAUUUUGAUGAGCACAGUAUUAAUAAAAAUGUGUCAUGUCUGUACCGCCUCCUACAAACCCAAUUGGUGGUCCUCCAGCCAUUGGCAUAGGGGGCUGAGAAGGAGCCAGAAAAGAGUUCAUAGUGGCUGAGCACCUCCCACCAGGCCAAGCUCUGCCUGGGUGCCUACUUAGUCUCCCUGCAGUACACAUAAAUAAACUCCUAUCAUACCCACUUCACAGAUGAAGAAACUGGCCCUAAAAGAGGUCAAGCAACUUGCUCAAGGUCACUCUACCAGGACCGGGUGAAGCAGUGUCUGGCCCACAAUUGAUUCUACACCAGUGAUGCUUGCUUGGCCUGGAGACUACUGGUCAUUUCAGGACCUUUCCAGGGGAUGACUUUCAUGCAAAUAUUGAAACACCGUAGCCUUGGUCACCCUUAUUUUCUCACAAAUGCACCAUGCAUCUGGGUUUGUUUGUUUGGUUGGUUGGUUUUCAAGAAAAUAACAACAUGUAGCUCCCUGAUGGCUAACGAAAUGUGUGCUUUGUACUCCUGUGUUCUUACAAAUAUGUUCAUUUUAAAUUCUGAUAUAGAGAACAAAGUUAACCUAACCACAGUGGGCUGGUAAAUGUUAAACAACCAGCUUUCCAAGUAAAAAUGUCCAAAUGUGUAGCAUUUGCCAACUUUCAUGGUGCAAAUAUUUUCACCAUGGUGGAUUUUUAAGCCACCAACAUAAUGUCACCGAAAGCAGAG
rnacentral:lncRNA from 1 species